CAGCAGCCGCGGUAACACGGAGGGAGCUAGCGUUGUUCGGAAUUACUGGGCGUAAAGCGCGCGUAGGCGGUUACUCAAGUCAGAGGUGAAAGCCCGGGGCUCAACCCCGGAACUGCCUUUGAAACUAGGUGACUAGAAUCUUGGAGAGGUCAGUGGAAUUCCGAGUGUAGAGGUGAAAUUCGUAGAUAUUCGGAAGAACACCAGUGGCGAAGGCGACUGACUGGACAAGUAUUGACGCUGAGGUGCGAAAGCGUGGGGAGCAAACAGGAUUAGAUACCCCUGUAGUCCCUGUCUCUUAUAC
rnacentral:rRNA from 1 species